rnacentral:rRNA from 1 species
UACGUAGGCAGCGAGCGUUGUUCGGAGUUACUGGGCGUAAAGAGUGCGUAGGCGGUUUUCUAAGUUUGGUGUGAAAUCUCCCGGCUUAACUGGGAGGGUGCGCCGAAAACUGGAAGGCUUGAGUAUGGGAGAGGUAAGCGGAAUUCCUGGUGUAGCGGUGAAAUGCGUAGAUAUCAGGAGGAACACCGGUGGCGAAAGCGUUCUGCUAGACCUGUACUGACACUGAGGGACGAAAGCUAGGGGAGCGAAUGGG